UGUUUCGGCUAGGGGGCCAUCCCGGCUUACCAACCCGAUGCAAACUGCGAAUACCGGAGAAUGUUAUCACGGGAGACACACGGCGGGUGCUAACGUCCGUCGUGAAGAGGGAAACAACCCAGACCGCCAGCUAAGGUCCCAAAGUCAUGGUUAAGUGGGAAACGAUGUGGGAAGGCCCAGACAGCCAGGAUGUUGGCUUAGAAGCAGCCAUCAUUUAAAGAAAGCGUAAUAGCUCACUGGUCGAGUCGGCCUGCGCGGAAGAUGUAACGGGGCUAAACCAUGCACCGAAGCUGCGGCAGCGACACUUUAGUGUUGUUGGGUAGGGGAGCGUUCUGUAAGCCGUUGAAGGUGUCCUGUGAGGGGUGCUGGAGGUAUCAGAAGUGCGAAUGCUGACAUAAGUAACGAUAAAGCGGGUGAAAAGCCCGCUCGCCGGAAGACCAAGGGUUCCUGUCCAACGUUAAUCGGGGCAGGGUGAGUCGACCCCUAAGGCGAGGCCGAAAGGCGUAGUCGAUGGGAAACGGGUUAAUAUUCCCGUACUUGGUGUUACUGCGAAGGGGGGACGGAGAAGGCUAUGUUGGCCGGGCGACGGU
rnacentral:rRNA from 1 species